AAACUUGCAAUUUCCAGUCUAAAACACUAUAAUAUACGAGCCGGAAACGGUGAUGAUUCUGAAUCCGUUGUGAAAUAGUCAUUUUGGACUGGGGGGCGGUACCCCACAGCUCCACCAUCUGAUGUGAUUGGGUGUCGCAUUUGAUUAUGGGGCUGACAUAGAUUCGACAGAUGAUAAAAGACAAACUGGGUGAAUCCGACAUGGCGUCGUUAAAAGCCGACUAAAAACUGAAUGGCGAUAGAAUCGCUGCGAACGACAAUGUUCGCCUUGCAAUGGCUGCCUAAUGUGGCGUUGAAUACGAUUGGCAAUUGUUGAUUGUAUUCGUUUUAGUUAUUGCGGGGUCGGCCGGGGACCUGGCACCAGAACGCCCGGCG
rnacentral:tmRNA from 1 species